rfam:Camelus ferus unplaced genomic scaffold scaffold283, whole genome shotgun sequence.
GGCAGGGUACAGCUCAAAUGGUAGAGCACAUACUUAGCAUGCAUGAGGUCCUGGGUUCAAUCUCCAGUCCCUCCU